UAUGGCAUUUUGUUAUGGGAACCCAAGCUAAGACGCUAUCUUUCACAGUUUGUUCCUGGGUUCUGGUACCAAUUCCAAUGUGUGUGGGGUUGGGGGUCGGGGGAGUCCCCCACACCAACAAGCAAUUCUUGGGACACCAGCUGGGUGUCCUACAAUUCAACUCGAUUCUGACACUAUGUACCCAGAGACAGCAUCACACCCCACAGGUUAAGGGUUCAGCCCCACAAGACUGCCCCCACUGCAGGUGCCAACAGCAAGUCUGGGUUGUCGCCUAUGCUUCUGAGCAACUGGCUGUCAGUAGGAGGUUCCCAAGACUCUCUACUCCGGUUCGACGAAUUUGCUAGGGCGGCUCACAGAACUCAGAGAAACCUCUUACUUACUAGAUUACCUGUUUAUUAGAAAAGGAUAUGACUCGGGAAUAGCUCGAUGGAACAGACGCAUAGGGCAAGACAUGGGGAGAGGGCACUGAGCUUCCACGCCCUCUCCAGGUAACCACUCUCCCAGAACCACCUCUCUCCCAGACCCUCCACAUGGUCACCAACCGCGACGCUCUUGGAAAUCUGUCCUUUUGGGUUUUUAUGCAUAAGCCGUUUAUUUAUUCUUUUACCCUCGGCUGCUGUUUUUCCUUCCCCAUUUAUAGCCCAAAGCCAAUCAAAGAAGGACAUGUGCAGUGUGAUGCUGUUCCUGUACAUUUUUUAAGUGCAUAACAAUGUAAGAAUUUGUUCAUGGAGACAUACACAUGUAUGUCUUGACUAUGCAUAAAAAUGUAAUCUUUUGUUAAUGGAGCCAUGCACAUGGAUAUUCUUGGAAUCAUAAAGAAUGUAAUUAAUUUUAGGAUACUGAUACCUAUGAUGAGAGAGGGAGGAGAACGGGGAUGGAAAUGUGAAUUUUAGGUGUGACGGCAACAUUUUGCUUCUUAAAAACACAGAUAUCAUUGUGGGCUGAAUCAUGUCCCUGAAAAUUCAUAUGUUGAAGUCCUAACUCCAGGACCUCAAAAUAGGGCUGUAUUUGGAGAGAGGGCCUCUAAAGAGGUAAUUAAGGUCAAGUGAGGUCACAUGGUUAGGCUCCAAUCCAAUGUGACUGAUAGUCACGUAAGAAGAGAAGAUUAGAACUCAGACACACACAGAGGGAAGACCGUGUGAGGACACAGGGAGAAGUGGCCGGGGAGAGAGGCCUCAGAAGAGACUAAACCGGCCAACGCCUUGAUCUUGAACUUCGGCCUCCAGAACCGUGAGAAAAUAAAUUUCUAUUGUUUAAGCCACCCUACGUGUGGCAUUUUGUCAUGGCAGCCCCAGCAAAUGAAUGCAACAUCGGAAGCAAAUAGGGCAGAAUUGAACGUCUGUUCUUUCUGGAUAUUGGGGCCGGAGAUAGAGGUCAUACUAUGUACUCUUCUGCAUAUUUGAAAUAUUUCCAUAAUAGUUAAGAAAAUAACAAGCACAUCCCGAAAAAGAAUAACCAGAGAGUAGAAAUUUAUGUGUGAUUACCUUACAGGCCAAGGUGGGUUUCGCGUUGGGCAGGUGGUUCUCUUCCACAGGGUGUGUCAGUCACCCAUGAAUUCCCGUCUCUUGGCUCUGCAAUUCCUGAUGCCUGUAUCAUUGUCUGCAACCAAUCUGCACAAGGAGAAAGAAGGAACACGGAGAAGACACACCUGCUUUCAAAAGUUCCAACCUGGAAAUGGCACACACCACUUCCACUCCCAUUGCAUUGGCUGAAACAUAGUCACACGCCACACCUCACUGCAAGUUGCUGGGGAUCCCACUUCUGUCACCAUGUAAAGUCAGCAAAUAAGAGGCAUAAACUG
ensembl:lncRNA